rnacentral:tRNA from 70 species
GCGGGUGUGGUAUAAUGGUAACACCUUAGCCUUCCAAGCUAAUGACGCGGGUUCGAUUCCCGCCACCCGCUCCA